UGUCCUCUGCUUAACAUGCACAUUUUUUUCCUUUGGAGCCAUUUUCCUCCGUAGGCUCUCUGGGCUGGCCAGCCGCCAAACAGUAGGGUGAGCUGCAUGAAAAAGCCUUGAUCAUUGACAGGCUGUCUUACAAUUUCUUUCUUGUAUUCAAGAUGCAGAUGGAUGUUAUUAGAAAGGUUUUUACUUCGAAUGUGCGCGGCUUGUCCGCAUGCCCGAGAUUAGUGCUCAAUACUCCUUAUAAUGCUUUUUCAUCCUCAAAAGGGCUUUACAAGCGCCAGCCCUCAGAACGCCCCUGCGAGGUACUGGAUGAUUUCUUCCCGGAAAAAUAAAUGGAACAUAAACUGAUGGAGUGUGGUAUCACUGAUUUAAGGAGAAGCUGAAGCAGAUGAUGUCGAAGCGAGGUCCUGAGCACCCCUUUCCCAGUGGAGGUAGCAGGAGAGGAGACUCACAAUCAUCUCCCAUCAUCACUGCCACUCCCCAGAGAUAAGGGGCACACCUGUAUCAUGGUCACAAGCACAAAUGAAGCUUGUGUAGAUGUACCUGAGCUUACUUCAGAAGUACGGGCUUGACCUUCAAGAGUUCCUGUUAAUUUGUUCAGUCUUAUCAUAGAAUCAUAGAAUGGUUUGGGUUGGAAGGGACCUUAAAGAUCCUCUAGUUCCAACCCCCCUGCCAUGGGCAGGGACACCUCCCACUAGACCAGGCUGCUCAAAGCCUUAUCCAGCCUGGUCUUGAACACAUCUUCAUACAACACGUAGCAUAGGGGGCCACCAUCUAGGACUAUGCCUCUGAGGUGCUGCUGCAAUACAGAUUUCUGCCAUUUUUCCU